CCACUUGAAGAUGAAGAGAUGGUCGAGCACAUCAUCACCGGCCUGGAUGAGGAAUUCAUGCCAUUGGUUACCGCUCUUGUUGCAAGAACAGAACCGAUCUCCAUGGGAGAACUCUACUCCCAGAUACUGAACUUCGAGA